CAUAAUUCUCCUACCCAUAAUUAAUGCUAAUAUAUUUAUUUUUAACGUAUUUUACAUAGUUAAUGUUAUAUCAACAUAAAAUUUGGAAUCAUCUCAGUUAAUUUUAUAGCAUAUAGUAUAAGUUACAUUCCCAUGUCAGUAACUUUGUAUUUUUCUUUGUAAACUUUGUAAACAUUUUUUGUAGAGACAGGGUCUUGCUCUGUCACCCAGGCUGUAGUGGAGUGGCAUGAUCACAGCUUACUGCACUUUCAAACUCUUGGGCUCAAGCGAUCUUCCCACCUCAGCCUCCUGAGUAGUUAGGACUACAGGCAUGCACCACCAUGCCUGGCAUUUUUUUCUUUUUUGGUAGAGAUGAGGACUCACUAUAAUGCCCAGGUUGGUCUCAAAUUCCUGGCCUGAAGCAAUCACCAUGCCUGGCAUUUUUUUCUUUUUUCCUUUUGGUAGAGAUGAGGACUCACUCUAUUGCCCAGGUUAGUCUCAAACUCCUGGCCUGAAGCAAUCCUCCCACCGCCUCCCGAAGAGCUGGGAUUACAGGUAUAAGCCAGCAUGCCCACCCAACAAUUUUCAAUGGUGAUAUAGUUUGGAUAUAUGUCCCCUCCUCUGUCUCUGGUCCUUCUCCCCUCCUCUGCUUCUUCUCUGGCCAUGUGAGGUGCCUGCUCCCACUUUGUCUUACCAUGAUUGUAAGCUUCCUGAGGCCCUCACCAGAAGCAGAUGCUGGUGCUACACUUCUUGUAUGGUCUGCAAAACUGUGAGCCAAAAUAAACUUCUUUUCUUUAUAACUUACCCAGCGCCUCAAGUAUUCCUUUACAGCAACACAAAAUGGACUAAUACAAAUGGCUAUAUAAUACUCUAUUCAGAUAGCAUCUAAUCUAUUUAAUAGUUAUUUUUCAGCAUUUGCUAUUAAAAUUAUGCAUAUACUAACUUAAAUACUAUACUAUACUAACCUCAAUGCCAAACUUCAAUUACUUACUUAUUUUAAACUAAUUAUCUAUUGAUUUUAAAAAUCACCUAAAAAUUUUAAUUGGUUUAUGACAGCAAAAUAUAGUUGACCCUUGAACAACACGGGUUUGAACUGCAUGGGUCCACUUAAAUACAAAUUUUCUUUCAUUUCUGCCACCCCUGAGACAACAAGACCAACCCUUCCUCUUGCUCUUCUUCCUUAGGCUACUCAAUAUGAAGACAGGGAAGAUACUUUUAUGAUUAUCUACUUCCACUUAAUAGUAUGUAUGUUUUCUCUCCCUUAUGGCUUGCUUAGUAACAUUUUCUUUUCUCUAGCUUACUUUUAGUGUAAGAAUACAGUAUAUAAUACAUAGACAAAAUAUGUGUUAACUCUUUAUGUUAUUGGUAAGGCUUCAAGUCAACAGUAGGCUAUUAGUAAAGUUUUUG
rnacentral:lncRNA from 10 species